GAACAGGGAUGAGCCCAGCACUGAAGCCCACAAUCUUAAACGGUUGUCGGGCAAUGUAGUGUUUGGGAGAGCCCAAUUAACCUAAGUAUUUAUGAGCGAGUCUAAGUCCUUCUUGAAGGGGGCCAUUCACCCAUAGAGGGUGCCAGGCCCGUAAAUGACCGUUUAAAUUAUAUUUAGGUGGGUUUCUCCUUAAAGUCGGGUUGCUUGAGAAUGCAGCUCUAAGUGGGUGGUAAACUCCAUCUAAGGCUAAAUAUUACUGUGAAACCGAUAGCGAACAAGUACCGUGAGGGAAAGUUGAAAAGCACUUAGAAGUGAGAGUUCAAUAGUACGUGAAACUGUUCAUGCGCAAACCUAUUAUAUCCAAUACUUUGAAUGGGUAGAUUCAUUGCUUAACCGUUUAUAAAGAUUUAACAGGUUUGUUUUUUAUAAACAAAUGAGACAUUACAUUUCAUAUGAUUCUUGUAAUCAUUAUGUAUUUUGUGGUGCUCACCUGUUUUAUGUAUAUAUAUAAUCGGUGGCAUGCACUUCUGCCUGUUUAAAUCGUCGUGAUCCAUUGAAAUUAUAUUGUUUGGGUGUUUUAAAGGUCACAAUGGUAGACCGUUACAUCAGUAUUUGGUCCUCUGGAUUAUAUUUUUUAUAUAAUUUAUGGCCUUAUAUAGUAUGUAUCGUGACUUGUGAUAUAAUAUGACAUCUAUUCGAUGGGAUAUUUAUGGAUGAUGAGUCGCAGUUUUUAUGCGUUUCUUGACCUAUAACAAAUAACUGUAGAAUGCAUUUAGUGUAGAAAACGGAUAUAAAUGCCGUUUCUACCGAUACGUUAUUGGUAGUUUAUAGUGUUCUUGAACGGAUUUAUUCUUAAACUCUAGAUCAUCUAAUCACGGCGUAAAUGAAGUUUUGGGUGAUUAUAGGACCCGUCUUGAAACACGGACCAAGGAGUAUAGCAUGUAUGCGAGUUAUUGGGAUAACUCGAAACUUAAAGGCGAAAUGAAAGUAUAUAUUUAUUUAUAUAUUAUUGAAUAUUUUCAAUGUAUAUAUAUACAAAUGUGGGAAGAUGGGUAAUUAUAUAUUACCUCGCAUUCCCGGGGCGUUGCUAACUCAUUGCGAGUUGUGGCGCACCAUGAGCAUAUAC
rnacentral:rRNA from 1 species